UACAAUACCACCGUGUUGAUUGUCAAAGUUUCAAACCAUUUCAAGGCUCCUAAAGGUAUCUCCUCUUCCUCCUAAGCAUUUUAGAUGAGUUUUGGCUAAGUUUGAACAUAAGGAAACCAUGGAAAUCGAACCUCUGAGGGUGGCACUAUUCACCAACUUUUAAACUCAUGAAUUUCUUCGAUUUUCAAGACCGUAGCAAGCUCAAGACCUUCCCUCGAUGCUCGGGGUGCAUCGUUUGUGAAAAUUGGACGUCAGAAAGCCCAGGUUCGAGU
rnacentral:lncRNA from 1 species